CUACGGGGGGCAGCAGUGGGGAAUAUUGCACAAUGGAGGAAACUCUGAUGCAGCAACGCCGCGUGGAGGAUGACACUUUUCGGAGCGUAAACUCCUUUUAUAUAGGAAGAAGAUGACGGUACUAUAUGAAUAAGCGCCGGCUAACUCCGCGCCAGCAGCCGCGGUAAUACGGAGGGCGCAAGCGUUACUCGGAAUCACUGGGCGUAAAGGGCGUGUAGGCGGAUUAAAAAGUCAGAAGUGAAAUCCUAUAGCUUAACUAUAGAACUGCUUCUGAAACUCUUAAUCUAGAAUAUGGGAGAGGUAGAUGGAAUUUCUGGUGUAGGGGUAACAUCCGUAGAGAUCAGAAGGAAUACCGAUUGCGAAGGCGAUCUACUAGAACAUUAUUGACGCUGAGACGCGAAAGCGUGGGGAGCAAACAGGAUUAGAUACCCGAGUAGUC
rnacentral:rRNA from 1 species